rnacentral:lncRNA from 1 species
AUGAGAAGAUAAAUACAUGCCAUAAUUAUUGCAUGCUUUUCUACAAGGAGGACCAACUAAAGAGUACAUAUGAUGUAUGUAAUAAAAGUUGAUUUAAGUCGAGAUAAGAGAAUAGAAAUCAAAAGAAUACCAUAUAAGGUUCUUCGAUACCUUCUCCUCACUCUUAGGCUUAGAAGGCUUCACUUGUUCAAGAGUACUAUUGAAGAGAUGAGAUGGCACAA